rnacentral:lncRNA from 1 species
AGUGUAGAAACUUAUAGACGUGGUUUCUACCUAUGAAAUCCAGAAGUGAAAAACAUGAUAUGAUUGCAGAAGUAAAUGCCUAUGAACAUGAUGUCUACCGUUAUGCAUACAUGAGUGACCCUCCCCUUUAAACUAAAACCCCAUAAGUUAUUACAAACAAGAAUGAAUCAAGAAGUAUAAAAUUACAUCAGAAAUUAAAGUACAACAAGGGAGAGCCUAAUUCAGACCCCCAGCCUGGAAUAUGAAAUAAACCAACUCCAAAGAUUCAAUUUCCGAAGCCUUCUCUUAUUUGGGAUAUGUUAGAGUUCCCUAAGAGUCUCACAUGGACUCCGGGCAGUGCUUACACCCAAAUAUAUUGCAGAAUUGAGUUACAGUGCAGUGUGGAAGGGCCAACCCUCAAAUUUUCAAGUUCAGAGGGAGAUCAAGGUCCCAAGACAAGGC